rnacentral:rRNA from 1 species
UACGAAGGGGGCUAGCGUUGCUCGGAAUCACUGGGCGUAAAGCGCACGUAGGCGGCUUUCUAAGUCAGGGGUGAAAUCCUGGAGCUCAACUCCAGAACUGCCUUUGAUACUGAGGAGCUUGAGUCCGGGAGAGGUGAGUGGAACUGCGAGUGUAGAGGUGAAAUUCGUAGAUAUUCGCAAGAACACCAGUGGCGAAGGCGGCUCACUGGCCCGGUACUGACGCUGAGGUGCGAAAGCGUGGGGAGCAAACAGG